CGCCGAAAGAUGAGCCCGCACUUGAUUAGCUUGUUGGUGAGGUAAAAGCUCACCAAGGCAACAAUCAAUAGCUGUUCUUAGAGGAAGACCAGCCACAUUGGGACUGAGACACGGCCCAGACUCCUACGGGAGGCAGCAGUGGGGAAUCUUGCACAAUGGGGGAAACCCUGAUGCAGCGAUGCCGCGUGAGUGAAGAAGGCCUUUGGGUUGUAAAACUCUUUCGUCGGGGAAGAAAAUGACUGUACCCGAAUAAGAAGGUCCGGCUAACUUCGUGCCAGCAGCCGCGGUAAUACGAAGGGACCUAGCGUAGUUCGGAAUUACUGGGCUUAAAGAGCUCGUAGGUGGUUAAAAAAGUUGGUGGUGAAAUCCCAAGGCUUAACCUUGGAACUGCCAUCAAAACUUUUUAGCUAGAGUGUGAUAGAGGAAAGUGGAAUUUCUAGUGUAGAGGUGAAAUUCGUAGAUAUUAGAAAGAACACCAAAUGCGAAGGCAACUUUCUGGAUCACUACUGACACUGAGGAGCGAAAGCAUGGGUAGCGAAGAGGAUUAGAUACCCUCGUAGUCCAUGCUGUAAACGAUGUGUGCUAGACGUUGGAAAUUUUAUUUUCAGUGUCGCAGCAAAAGCGUUAAGCACACCGCCUGGGGAGUACGACCGCAAGGUUAAAACUCAAAUGAAUUGACGGGGACCCGCACAAGCAGUGGAGCAUGUGGUUUAAUUCGAAGAUACGCGCAGAACCUUACCAACUCUUGACAUGUCCGUCGCGACUUAUAGAAAUAUGAGUCUUCGGUUCGGCCGGACGGAACACAGGUGCUGCAUGGCAGUCGUCAGCUCGUGUCGUGAGAUGUUGGGUUAA
rnacentral:rRNA from 1 species